rnacentral:rRNA from 1 species
UACGGAGGGUGCAAGCGUUAUCCGGAUUUACUGGGUUUAAAGGGUGUGUAGGCGGUCUAUUAAGUCAGUGGUGAAAUCUCCGGGCUCAACCUGGAAACUGCCAUUGAUACUAUUAGUCUUGAAUUUUGUUGAGGUAGGCGGAAUAAGUCAUGUAGCGGUGAAAUGCAUAGAUAUGACUUAGAACACCAAUUGCGAAGGCAGCUUGCUAAACAAAUAUUGACGCUGAGGCACGAAAGCGUGGGGAUCAAACAGG